CCUACGGGUGGCAGCAGUGAGGAAUAUUGGUCAAUGGACGAGAGUCUGAACCAGCCAAGUAGCGUGAAGGAUGACUGCCCUAUGGGUUGUAAACUUCUUUUAUAUGGGAAUAAAACGUUCCACGUGUGGGAUUUUGUAUGUACCAUAUGAAUAAGGAUAGCCUAACUCGGUGCCAGCAGCCGAGGUAAUACGGAGGAUGCGAGUGUUAUGCGGAUUUCGUGGGGUUAAAGGGUGCGCAGGCGGAUUUUUAAGUCAGCGGUAAAAUCGUGGGGCUCAACCCCAUACAGCCGUUGAAACUGGGGUUGUAGAGUUUGCGAGAGGUAUGCGGAAUGCGUGGUGUAGCGGUGAAAUGCAUAGAGAUCACGCAGAACCCCGAUUGCGAAGGCAGCAUACCGGUGCACAACUGACGCUCAGGCACGAAAGCGUGGGUAUCGAACAGGAUUAGAUACCCCAGUAGUC
rnacentral:rRNA from 1 species